GGAUGCCCAGAUAAAUUUAAAUUUCAGGUAAACAGCAAAUAUUUUUUUUAGUAUAGGUAUGUUCUGUGAAAUAUUUGGGACAUACUUACACUAAAAGUUUGUUGUUUAUCUGAAGUUCCAGUUUAGUUGG
rnacentral:miRNA from 1 species